GUCUACAGCCAUGCUACCCUGAACAAGCCCGAUCCCAUCUGAUCCAGAAGCUAAGCAAGGUCGGGCCUGGUUAGUACUUGGAUGGGAGACCACCUAGGAAGACCAGGUGCUGUAGGCG
rnacentral:rRNA from 1 species